AACGAACGUUAGCGGCGCGCUUAACACAUGCAAGUCGCACGAGAAAGGGCUUCGGCCCCGGUACAGUGGCGCACGGGUGAGUAACACGUGGGUAAUCUUCCCUCGGGCGGGGGAUAACAUUCCGAGAGGAGUGCUAAUACCGCAUAAGACCACGGCUUCGAAAGGAGCUGAGGUCAAAGCCGGCCUCUAUUCAUAAGCUGGCACCUGAGGAUGAGCCCGCGGCCCAUCAGCUAGUUGGUAGGGUAAUGGCCUACCAAGGCGAAGACGGGUAGCUGGUCUGAGAGGAUGAUCAGCCAAACUGGAACUACGACACGGUCCAGACUCCUACGGGAGGCAGCAGUGGGGAAUCUUGCGCAAUGGGCGAAAGCCUGACGCAGCGACGCCGCGUGAGUGAUGAAGGCCUUCGGGUUGUAAAGCUCUGUGGGGAGAGACGAAUAAGUCGGAGCUAAUACCUCCGGCGAUGACGGUAUCUCCUUAGCAAGCACCGGCUAACUCUGUGCCAGCAGCCGCCGUAACAC
rnacentral:rRNA from 1 species